rnacentral:rRNA from 1 species
UGAGAGGGUGAACGGCCACAUUGGGACUGAGACACGGCCCAGACUCCUACGGGAGGCAGCAGUGGGGAAUAUUGCACAAUGGGGGAAACCCUGAUGCAGCGACGCCGCGUGGAGGAAGAAGUACUUCGGUAUUGUAAACUCUAGUUGCAGGGAAGAUAAUGACGGUACCUGACUAAGAAGCCCCGGCUAACUACGUGCCAGCAG